UCCGGUGGCACAGGAAAUUGGCGCCAUCUCUGUAAUGGGCGACGCAAAAAUCCGUUUCCCUUGCAUGGCCUCGUAGAUCGUCGCGCGCACGCGCGCCGAUCCAGGUGGCCAAGCCCUUCCCCCCGCUCAACUCCUCUCCUACGCCCUCUCUCCUAAUACCCUCUCAACUCCCUCACCUUCGACUGUCUACGCCCCCGCGCCGCCGUGCCAUCCCCGCCGGCCCGGCUGCUGCUUAGUCCGCUACGUAACGCUUUAUUUUUGUUAUCUACUGUCAUCGACAUGCGUGCGCUGCUGUGCGUUGACCGACGUGGCUAGUUUCGUCAGUUCCGUGGUCCUCGGCAGCUGUGUGCUUGUGCUCCGCGAUGUUUCACCCGUUUCACGACUCGUACCGCUCGUGCAUCGUGCAGUGGUGCACAAAUACCUCAAAAACAAGUCCUGCAAGGUUGUUCCGGGUGCCUAAAGACAACAGGUUAUCUUUGGGCGCAGACGAUUGAACCGUGACGAAAAUACGCCAGCACCAACUAAGCGGAAGGCAAGUGUACAGAUUGUUGUCACUGUGUGGCUGAUAAUGAUUUAUUUCCAUUCCAGAGAAAAACGAGCAGAGACACACGAGAUGAAGAGUCGCGUCAGGUUCCUUCGCAGAGUGUCACUUAUGAUGCACAAGCUUCCACAUUCACCUCGCUUUUGGACAGUUUGGAAUAUGUUGGAGAUAGUGCCAAGACAAUUCUAGACAGCACUUGUGCAUGUCAGGAAACAGAAGAGACUUCCCACAGUGAGCCUGCAAUGUUCACUGAUGCAUUUGAAAGUGAACCAGCUGUAAGUGACCUCCUGCACCACUUACUGGCACAAGUGCUGUUCAAUUCUUUACACAUUAUGAAAGAGUAAGCAGUCGUGUAAAUUCUUCUGCCUCCUUGUAUUGUCAUAUUUAAAGAUAACUCAACUUCAACAGGCUGCAGCACACAUGGAAACCACAUCAUUCAACAAUGUUUUGGGGAAUGAAGAUGUAAGUGCUCACACAGCCAGUCUAGGCUUCUGAACACGGUGCCUGUUUAAGAAGUACACACAUUCACAUGGUUUCUCCUUUCAUAGGCUCAGUGCAAUGAAGAUACGUUUCCCAGCUCUGGCACAGUUUGUGAACCAGAUGUGAGU